rnacentral:snoRNA from 1 species
GUACAAUGAUGACCAACUUAGGACACCUUUGUAGGUUACGACCUAUGAAAAUAAACCAUGUUCUGAGUACA